AACUCUUAGCAACGGAUAUCUUGGUUCCAGUAACGAUGAAGAACGCAGCGAAAUGCGAUACGUAAUGCGAAUUGCAGAAUUCAGUGAAUCAUCAAAUCUUUGAACGCAAAUUGCGGUCGCGGGAUAGACCUGCGACCACGCCUCCUUGAGUGUC
rnacentral:rRNA from 1 species